rnacentral:rRNA from 1 species
GACGAACGCUGGCGGCGUGCUUAACACAUGCAAGUCGAACGGAAAGGCCCUGCUUUUGUGGGGUGCUCGAGUGGCGAACGGGUGAGUAACACGUGAGUAACCUGCCCUUGACUUUGGGAUAACUUCAGGAAACUGGGGCUAAUACCGGAUAGGAGCUCCUGCUGCAUGGUGGGGGUUGGAAAGUUUCGGCGGUUGGGGAUGGACUCGCGGCUUAUCAGCUUGUUGGUGGGGUAGUGGCUUACCAAGGCUUUGACGGGUAGCCGGCCUGAGAGGGGGACCGGCCACAUUGGGACUGAGAGACGGACCAGACGCCUACGGGAGGCAGAAGGGGGGAAUAUUGCACAAUGGGCGGAAGCCUGAUGCAGCAACGCCGCGUGCGGGAUGACGGCCUUCGGGUUGUAAACCGCUUUCGCCUGUGACGAAGCGUGAGUGACGGUAAUGGGUAAAGAAGCACCGGCUAACUACGUG